GUGAGACUGUCUUAGUCAAGCUGAAUAAAGGAGGGGUUUUUGUACGGCCUCUUCCUCUGUUUGCAGCACUGUGGUACAUGUUUGGGGCCGGGACCAAGCUGAUGGUCAAAAGCCGCGCCUUGUCUUCCCCAGUGAUCAGUGUGCUGCCUCCGACCUCUAAGGAGACAUCUGACAAAAGUCAGGCCACGUUGCUCUGUCUGGUCAACAAUUUCUACCCCGACUCCGUCACCGUGAGCUGGACGGUGGACGGGCGUAGCGCAGUGGGAAGCCAGCUGGAUAGCCAAUCGCUGCGCAAGUCCGACGGGACCUACGGCAUGAACAGCAUGCUCACCCUGUCCCGCUCGGAGUGGGACUCCGGGGAGGUGUUCGCCUGUCAGGUUAGGCACGAAAGCCUGUCGACCCCCGCCGCCGAAAGCAUCCGCAAGAGCGAGUGUAAGGACGGGUAACUCGGCGGAAGAGCUGCUCAACGGCUUCUCACUUUUAAUAAUCUCUCGCUCUUUUCUCUCACUUCUGCUUUUGAUAAUCUUUGUCAUCCUGUCUAACCAUUUCCUCUUCUGUCAGUUAU